rnacentral:lncRNA from 1 species
UUUUUUUUCUUUUUUUUUUUUGAGACAGGGUUUCUCUGUGCAGCACUGGCUGUCCUGGAAAUCACUUUGUAGACCAGGCUGGCCUAGAACUCAGAAAUCUGCCUGCCUCUGCCUCCCGAGUACUGGGAUUAAAGGCAUGCGCCACCAUGCCCGGCUUUUCAAGCAACUUUUUAAAAUCCUCUAUACAUGUGAUUCCUACACACUUCACACCCUUUUACUAAAUAGACAUUUUCUUCCAACCUUGUUUUGUAUUUUCAUUCUGACUUGUUUUCCCAAUUAUCAGCUAUUGAUUAGGCUACCAAAUCCCCAAAUAUUAGCUUAAACAGGGCAUAUUUAUUCUUUAAACUCUGACAUAGAGUUACUAAGCUAGUUUUGUGGCUCUUAUAUUUUUAUUAAAGAGAGAUCAUGAUAGUAAUGACCAAAGCACUAGCACUUUGUAGCCAGUGUUCAGGAAUGGUCAACGAAAUGAACAGAUUGUCCUUCCAGUGCAAUUUCCUAGCUCCAGAUCCAGAUGUUAGACAAGUAGGUACACAACCAUUUACAAAGAAAGGGAAAUCCCUUCUUCCAGAGGUUAAAACACACCCACAUUUCCCCCCCCCCCCCACACACACACACAAACAGUACUGACUCUGGAGCAUGAUGAUAUGCAGCUAUGACCCUUGCCAAUGGUCUCUGGGAGUUUAAGCACAAGAGCUGGGGUGUGGUAUGAUCCAAGAAAAAUGGAUUGACCAAGCUAAAGCCAUGGAAGAUAUAGCCUCAUAAAGAGAAUGAAUAGAGUUCUACAGUCCAGGAGAACUUUAAAACUUAGGAAACAUCAAGUCACUUUCUGAUUAACAGGGCUCUAUAAUAUGCCACAUAUAUGGGAUGUUUAAUUAUAUUCAUGAUACUUAAUUGAAAAAAUGUUAUAUACUGUAUCUUGUCUUUCCUGGGUACCUUGUAGUCCCCUUUUCUAGUUUAAGGUACCUUUCUGUAGUAAUAAACUAUACUGGCAGUGUAACCAUAUAUCCAAUUUCUAUGAGCCACUGACCUGGACAGUGAUCUUGAGAGAACUAAUAGAACUAUAUAAACUACUUAACUAUUUGAGGAGCAAUAGAGAUCAUAUGUGACCUGCAGGGCUUAAAAUAUCUGCUAUCUGGUUUUUGUAGGAGUUUGAACACUUGGCUUCUAGUUGGUGAUUUGUUUGGGAAGGUUAUAAAAUCUUUAGGAGAAGAUAGAGCUAUGUUGGAAGAAGUGGGUCACUAGGAGUGGUCUAAAGAUGUUAUAGCCCUUCCCACUUCCUGCUCACUCUCAGCUUCCUGACUUGAUGCAGUGUAACUUGCUGCUGUCUCAGGCUCCUGCCACCUUGACUUCCCUACCAUGAUGUACCCUCUAGCUUUGAGCUAAAUAAAACCUUAAAUUGUUUUGUUUAGGUAGUUUUUCACAACAACAAGAAAACAAAGUUUUCUUUUUCUCUAAAUCAGGAAGUAUCAGGGCUGGCCUGAUAGCUUAAUGGGUUAAACCUGUUUAUUGACUCUAAGGACAUGGGUCUUGUAGUUCAAACACUCAGAAAGAUGGAAGAGAGGACCAACACCAUGACUUAAUGGGUUAGACUGUUCGUUUUACCAUGCUGAAGACCUGAGUUCUAACCUUCAACCUUCAAACAAACAUUAAGGUGGAAGGAGAGAACCAAUGGCACAGAGAUGUCUUCUAAUCCCAGUGGUCCACGUCAUUUACAUAUGCACACAAACACACAGAGUUGAAAAUACAUCCGAAGAUGAAAGAAGUGAGAACACCUUGAAACAAAAAGGUUAGUAUUUAAAUGUAGAUAAGUCAUCUUCGAUUAGAAGUUAUAAGGAUUGUGCUAAAACCCUCAGCUUCUGAAACUAGUUUUAAGGCUAAAAACAGGUCUUGGUUAGUGACUUGCCCAAGGUCAUGUGUAAUUCUUAUCUUCAUUGAAGACACCUUCCUACCAGAAGUACUUUAGUACUGAUAGCUUAGUUACUUGACUGCAGAAACAUCGAAGUUGAUCUUUGGAAUGGAAAAAAAAAAUGAGUACAGCAUAGAACCACAGAGGGUAAAUAUAGAAUAAGGGACUAGAGGCUACAGAUCUCAUUAGGAAAGGGAAGUAGAACAGGUAAUUAUGGGUGGAUGGGGGUCUAGAAUAGAGGAGAGGGAGAGGAGAAGGUUGAAAAAGAAUCUGGGUGAGGGUUAUUAUGGAAACAACACAGAAGCUUCCUAAAAUAUAUGCAUGCAUGAAGGUGAUCUAAAUAAAAUAGCCAAAUAAUGACCAAUUAAUUAUCUCUUCUCACCAAAUGAAGUUCCCAGUACCAGGAUUGGGUUACAUCUAGUUGAGUUGCUAACUAAAGGGAUCCCAUUGGACUCCCUAAACAAUCUGGGCUAUUGCCAGGACAACAGGUUGUUUUCUGCAAACUGAUAGCAAGGCCCCAUUACUGAAGAUAACACUUAUAUAAUUCAUUGAACAUAGAGACAGCAAGCUGAAGUUUACACUGAGCAUUCACCCCUAAGUCUAGUAUCUUUGGUACCGGAUGGUACUGUGCAUACUACCAAAAGAGAAACAGAAAUACCACAUAACAAACGCUUUAGUCUACAAUAGUGUACUGCUUGCACUAUGCAAGGGCAGUUUUGACAAAAAGCUUGUGGGAAUUCCCAAGUAUCUGAUUUGAUUUUCAGCCCACUCCACAGGAUGAACUAUACUUGAUAGUGCUGGGUGACCAAGAACCAGAGAUUUAAUAGCCCAGGGACCUAGAGUAAAACCAAAUACUAUUAAAAACAAAAAUAGUGAUAAAAUGACUCCUAAUGACAUUCUUCGAUAUCCAAAGGUAAGUGUCUUGCUUAACCAUCAUCAGAGAAGCCUCCUCCUGCAGCAGAUGGAAACAAACACAGUCCUACAGCCAAAGACUGCAGAGAAUGAAAAACUUUGGAAAACUAGCACUAAAUGGCAUGUCUGUCAAAAACCUCUCCCUCAGAGCUCAGGGGGUCCCUGCAGAAGAGGUGGGAAGAGUUUAAGAACCAGAGUGGAUGGAGGAUACCAAGAAAACAAGGCCCUCUAAAUCAACCUAGCAAUCCUCAUGGUAAUUCUCAGAGACUGGAGCAGAAUACACAGGGCUUGCAUGGGUCUAGACCAGUCGUCUUGAGUAUAUAUUAUGAAUUCCAGUUUAGUGUUUUUAUGGGCUUCCUCAGUAUGCAAACAAGUGGGUCUCAGUCUUGUGCCUUCUCUUGGGCUGUUUUCUGUUUGCCUUGUCCAACUCCAAUGUGAUAGUUUUUAUUUUGUCUCACUUUAUUUCUUUAUAUUAACUCUUAAAAUCCAUCUUUGUAGUGAGAUAGGAGUUCAUCUAAAUAGGGGAUGGGAAGAAAGGAGGAACUGGGAAUCUAUUUUCAAUAAAAGGUAAAUUAAGGAUAGAUUAAGCUAUACAUUCAAGAGAUGUGAAGACACUACCUAAAUAGGGGAAAAGGAAAUUUACUUUCUAGGAAUACUACAGUUUUUCUACUAGUAGUAAAGAACUUAAUUCCCUUUAUUUUGGCAGCAAGCCAUUACAUUCACCCCAAAUUUACAAGAAAAAAAUCCUGAUUUGUAUUUGUGUGUGUGUGUGUGUGUGUGUGUGUGUGUGUGUGUGUGUGUUAACAGAUAAACCCAAGUUUAGUGUCCACUUGUAAUUGAAAAACUUUUAAGGGCACUAAAUUUUUAUUAUAAGUGUCUUUUUUUGUUUGUUUGUUUUGUUUUUUUAGGUUUUUUGGUUUGGUUUGGUUUGGUUUGGUUGUGGUUUGUUGUUGUUGUUGUUGUUGUUGUUAUUUAUUUAUUUAUUUAUUUAUUUAUUUAUUUGAGACAGGGUUUCUCUGUAUAGCCCUAGCCGUCCUAGAACUCACUUUGUAGACCAGGCUGGCCUCAAACUCAGAAACCCGCCUGCGAGUGCUGAGAUUAAAGGCGUGCACCACCACGCCCAGCUUUAUUAUAAGUGUCUUAAGUAAUCAAGAAAAUGCUUUGUAAAUUAUAAUUAGCUCAGCUUUCUAGAAUACAAAGCUUAAUAAUUCUGGGAGUUAGUAAGGAAACCAAAUGGGAGGCAGCAUCCCAAUACUAACAACAUCUCACCUUUAUAAAUGUGCUGACCCUGGCAACAUUUGAUCCCAGGGCUAGAAAUAGGAGUUGUUGAUUGGAGAAAUUACUGACACAAAUUACAAGAGUGAAGAUACAUGGAAAUGACUGACGAUUAUUCCAGAGCCUACUUGAAGGUUGGCAUAAUGUUCAUUACAUAAUAUCCUUAAUUUUAUAAAUAUGCCACACAGGAAAAUGGCACAUUCUAUAGAUAGCAACUGAUACUUUUAAAGCCUUUUUAUUCUAUUAGGUAGCAUGAGGUAGCAGGAAGCUGGGGUUUGAAACACUGGGAUGGAAUUCAGAGGACUUGGACUUUGUUCCUCUUAAUCUGAUUCCAGAUUGUAUAAUUUAAUGUGAGUGUUACAUCCAGUGCCCACACUAUUUUAGGUUUUAGCAUAGACUGAAAUGCUUUCAGGAACUCACAGUUGUACAGGACAGGUUUUAUUUUCAAGUAACCUGUGAAAUGUUCUCACAGAAGGUUUUGUUUGCUUGUUUGUUGAUCCUCUGAUGUGGCCUUAAAAACUUUUUUCUAAUUAUUUAUAUUUGUAAAUUUCUUCUUUGGGUGGUGAUCUCCAAAGAAAAAUAAAUCACACCUUUGUCUAAAUUUCCCAAAUAAGAAGAAGCAGAUUCAGUGACAGAAGACUCAUUUAUGAACUAAGACUUGUUGUACUGGGAGUGAGGCCACAGGCCUCUCAUCCCAGCUCUCUGGAGGUGGAGGCAAGUGGAUCUCUCUGAGUUUCUGACCAGCCAAGGUUCCAUAUUGUGACCCUAUCUCAAAAAUAAACUAAAAAAUAAGGCAUUUGUAACUUUGAUUUUCUUGUCUUUAAUAAUACCUUUAUAAAAGUUAUGCAUAAUUACUAUCC